rnacentral:rRNA from 1 species
CAUAUCAAUAAGCGGAGGAAAAGAAACCAACAGGGAUUGCCCUAGUAACGGCGAGUGAAGCGGCAACAGCUCAAAUUUGAAAUCUGGCUCUUUCAGAGUCCGAGUUGUAAUUUGCAGAGGGCGCUUUGGCGUUGGCAGCGGUCCAAGUUCUUUGGAACAGGACGUCACAGAGGGUGAGAAUCCCGUACGUGGUCGCUAGCCUUCGCCGUGUAAAGCCCCUUCGACGAGUCGAGUUGUUUGGGAAUGCAGCUCUAAAUGGGAGGUAAAUUUCUUCUAAAGCUAAAUACUGGCCAGAGACCGAUAGCGCACAAGUAGAGUGAUCGAAAGAUGAAAAGCACUUUGGAAAGAGAGUCAAAUAGCACGUGAAAUUGUUGAAAGGGAAGCGCUUGCAGCCAGACUUGCCUGUAGUUGCUUAUCUGGACUUUUGUCCAGUGCACUCUUCUGCGGGCAGGCCAGCAUCAGUUUGGGCGGUUGGAUAAAGGUCUCUGUCAUGUACCUCCUUUCGGGGAGGCCUUAUAGGGGAGACGACAUGCAACCAGCCCGGACUGAGGUCCGCGCAUCUGCUAGGAUGCUGGCGUAAUGGCUGUAAGCGGCCCGUCUUGAAACACGGACCAAGGAGUCUAACAUCUAUGCGAGUGUUUGGGUGUCAAGCCCAGACGCGUAAUGAAAGUGAACGGAGGUGGGAACCCUUUGGGUGCACCAUCGACCGAUCCUGAUGUCUUCGGAUGGAUUUGAGUAAGAGCAUGGCUGUUGGGACCCGAAAGAUGGUGAACUAUGCUUGAAUAGGGUGAAGCCAGAGGAAACUCUGGUGGAGGCUCGCAGCGGUUCUGACGUGCAAAUCGAUCGUCAAAUUUGGGCAUAGGGGCGAAAGACUAAUCGAACUAUCUAGUAGCUGG